UGGGGAAUAUUGGACAAUGGGCGCAAGCCUGAUCCAGCCAUGCCGCGUGAGUGAUGAAGGCCUUAGGGUUGUAAAGCUCUUUCGCCGGUGAAGAUAAUGACGGUAACCGGAGAAGAAGCCCCGGCUAACUUCGUGCCAGCAGCCGCGGUAAUACGAAGGGGGCUAGCGUUGUUCGGAAUUACUGGGCGUAAAGCGCACGUAGGCGGAUUGUUAAGUCGGGGGUGAAAUCCCAGGGCUCAACCCUGGAACUGCCUCCGAUACUGGCAUUCUUGAGUCCGAGAGAGGUGAGUGGAAUUCCGAGUGUAGAGGUGAAAUUCGUAGAUAUUCGGAAGAACACCAGUGGCGAAGGCGGCUCACUGGCUCGGAACUGACGCUGAGGUGCGAAAGCGUGGGGAGCAAACAGG
rnacentral:rRNA from 1 species